rnacentral:lncRNA from 1 species
AAAUUGAUAGCAUGUAACCGAUACCCAUCUACCCCUGCUCUCCUUUGUCACCCUUCAACCGAUGCCUCAUCAAUUAAGAAACAUCAGUUACAAACCCUAGCAAUUUAUAAACCCUGCUCAUCGGCUCCAAUUAAUCUGUGAUUUUCUCAAUUCUGCGCUGUUUUGGUUAUGUUAUAUCGUCUCCGAUAUUGUCUCAAUUCCUUCCCCCAACAUAGAAACACUAGAAAUCGAUGAACGAGAGUAGAAAUCGGUUAAAUGGUACCUGUAAUUGCACUCGUUUUGGGUUAGAUUCAAGAAAGGGUGAAAAACCGUUGUCCUAUGGUUCGGAUGGAGAGCAUUUCAGAUGAUCGAGCUUUCCAACUAUUUCAUCAGUUGGUCCAAACGGUUCAAUUAUUCAUUACGAACCAGAAGCUAAAACAUGUGCGGAACUCCAUCCAAAUCGCAUGUAUCUUUGUGAUUCUGGAGCUCAGUAUUUUGAUGGGACAACGGAAACGGAUAUAACUCGGACCGUUCAUUUCGGAAAGCCUUCUGAACAUGAAUAAAGAUGUUAUACUGCGGGUGUCAGCAAGGGAGGCCUAAAAGGAAUCGCCCACAUAACAGGAGGUGGUUUAACAAAUAAUGUCCCUCAAGGCCUCGGGGCCCGCAUUUACAACAACUUUUGGUCCGUUCUUCCUAUUUUCAAGUGGAUCCAAAAGGUGAUGAAAACAUUGAAGAUGCUGAAAUGAAGCGUACAUUUAAUAUGGGAAUCAGGAUGCUAGCGAAGAGGCUGCCCAAAGGAAAGAGGCAACUGAAGGUACAUGUUGGUACACCGGUAGGGGUGUAAACGAGUCGGGCAUAGUGCGAGCCUCCACUACUCAAGCUUGGCUCGUCAUGUUUUUAUGAAGCUCGGUUCGGUUCGGAUUUACUUAUUUGAGCUCGAGCUCGGCUUGCAAGUAAAACCCAAAUCUUGAGCUCAUUUUGAGCUCACAAGCUUAAACAUACUUUAUAUUUCUAGCUCGAGCUUGUUAAGUCUCGGUUUUUAUAUUAAGAUGCUUUUGAUUCCUCAACAACACUCUUUUAGGAUUUUCACUUUGCACUAAAUGGUAAUGUGUUCGGGAUUAUUCAAUCUACCUCACUGUUUUUU